UACGAAGGGGGCUAGCGUUGUUCGGAAUCACUGGGCGUAAAGCGCACGUAGGCGGAUUGUUAAGUCGGGGGUGAAAUCCUGAGGCUCAACCUCAGAACUGCCUUCGAUACUGGCAAUCUCGAGUCCGGAAGAGGUUGGUGGAACAGCUAGUGUAGAGGUGAAAUUCGUAGAUAUUAGCUAGAACACCAGUGGCGAAAGGCGGCCAACUGGUCCGGUACUGGACGCUGAGGUGCGAAAAGCGUGGGGAGCGAACGAGG
rnacentral:rRNA from 1 species